CCUACGGGCGGCAGCAGUGGGGAAUAUUGGACAAUGGGGGGAACCCUGAUCCAGCCAUGCCGCGUGUGUGAAGAAGGCCCUCGGGUUGUAAAGCACUUUCAGUGAGGAAGAACGCCUGGUGGUUAAUACCCAUCAGGAAAGACAUCACUCACAGAAGAAGCACCGGCUAACUCCGUGCCAGCAGCCGCGGUAAUACGGAGGGUGCGAGCGUUAAUCGGAAUUACUGGGCGUAAAGCGCGCGUAGGUGGCUUGAUAAGCCGGUUGUGAAAGCCCCGGGCUCAACCUGGGAACGGCAUCCGGAACUGUCAAGCUAGAGUGCAGGAGAGGAAGGUAGAAUUCCCGGUGUAGCGGUGAAAUGCGUAGAGAUCGGGAGGAAUACCAGUGGCGAAGGCGGCCUUCUGGACUGACACUGACACUGAGGUGCGAAAGCGUGGGUAGCUAACAGGAUUAGAUACCCGUGUAGUC
rnacentral:rRNA from 1 species